rnacentral:rRNA from 1 species
UUUUUAUGGAGAGUUUGAUCCUGGCUCAGGACGAACGCUGGCGGCGUGCCUAAUACAUGCA